rnacentral:rRNA from 1 species
UACGGAGGGUGCAAACGUUGCUCGGAAUCAUUGGGCGUAAAGCGCGCCUAGGCGGCUUGACAAGUUGGAUGUGAAAGCCCUGGGCUCAACCCAGGAUGUGCAUUCAAAACUGUCUGGCUUGAAUCUCGGAGGGGGUCAGGGAAUUCCCGGUGUAGAGGUGAAAUUCGUAGAUAUCGGGAGGAACACCAGUGGCGAAGGCGCUGACCUGGACGAUGAUUGACGCUGAGGCGCGAAAGCGUGUGGAGCAAAUAGG